rnacentral:tRNA from 1 species
AAUUCUUACUCGGAUUUUAACCGAGACCGAUGAUUUGAAGAACCAUAGUUGUUAUUCAACUAAAAGAAC